CUCUUCAUCAUUACUUGGCAAAGAUGCUAUUUAGACACUGCUAGAAGGGUCAAACUCCUGAAUGCCAGCAGUGUGUAAUCCUGCAGCAAGAUCCUUAAGCCCUGAAGGAUUUGCAGCCUCCUCUCAAUUUCUUUUGUAAAGCAGAUGCAUCAUAUCCCCGAGGACUGCAGUAAUAGUAAUGGAGAAGAAAACAGACGAAAAUAUAAUGACAGACAUUGUCAGUGGCAACAGCUCUGUGGAGGUGAACCUCCAUCCAGUGUCAUCUUGGGCUUCUCAGCUGGGUUCUGCAGUCACAAAAUUGAGUGUGAGAGGACGCAGGUAAUGGCUUUCCAUCAUUGUGUCUUCCUGGGACUGCUCCGUGUCCCUGGGCACUGUGAGCCCGGCAGUUUGCUGCUCUCCUCUGCUCCUGAGUGCUUGGAGCUGGCUCAUGAGGAUGAACAGUCCAAACAACUGCGGGUGCAUUUGGAUGAAACCAACUGUGACUGCCUCUUUCUAUCUAGUAUUUGACAGCCUGAAGUUUUGCCAAAAGCUAUAAAGAAAUUAUUUGUCUAAAGCCAGUGGCUUGAAGUUUGGCUUUUAAAUCUGCAUUUAGCUACCUCUUUAAAUACCCCGAUAUUAAAAAAAAGAUGCUCACACUGAAGCUCAAUACUUAUGAAAAUUAUAUUUCUCCCAACCACAUCUACACAGCACUUAUCACAGUGCAGCCUGGGUUCAGGACUUAAAAAUGUUCUUGGUGUAGAUAUAGAUUGUAAUGAAGUACUAAAUGACUGCAGACAACAUCUGGAGAUAAAACCCCUGCCUCACUUAUUGCUGGCGGAACAGAAAUCAUAUUGUACCUCAGGAGCAGAAAAUGUGAAAGAUCUUUUGGAGUUUCACCUUGCAGCUGGGUAGACUGGUGGAAAACUAAACGUGCUGACUCAAAGGACUCAGGAUCAUAUCCACAAAAAUAUCCAUUAUCACAAACAUUGACUGUUCAUGUAUAAGUAUCUGGCAGAGAAAAGCAAUAGAAUUUCCCCAAGGCAGUGCUAUGAGAAAGGAGCACUGGGGGGAGCGUCAGGUCCUGGGAACUUGAGGGUCCUUUCAGCUGCUUGGACAUAUCCAUUACCAAAAUAUUGCUGUUUUGAUUAUGGUAUUUCUUAUAUAUGACAGGAUCUUUUCUUCUAAGGAUAUCAGUGGUCCCCAGCUCAAGUGAAAAAAUUCCUGUCUUGUGGAUAAUUACACCAGUUAGGAAGAAGUAAUGGAAAAAUAAUAGCUAAAAUGAUAAACUGGUGAAUAACGAGAAACAUACCUAAAUGUUCCAGCUAAUGUUAACAGGCUGAAAACAGAUUUAACAUUCAACAGCUGCAAGGAAAAAUGUUUGACAUCCCUGCCUUUGCAAGCCAGUUCAAGGAAAGGGAGGGUCAUUAAGCAUGAACAAUGUCAGCUAAAAGCCUCUCUCCUCCCUUGAAGGCCUGCUUGUAUACGUGACCAUACAGUACUGGUCAUUUCCCAUCUUCUUAGACACAUAUCUCAUGUAAGAGAUUUUGCUGGCUUGCACCACUUUUUGACUUGGAAAUUUGUAUCCAAAUAACAUUGGUUUCCUGUUAUGCUUUUCUUGUAGCGCUUUAUCAAACAGCAGGAAUUUAUGCUGUUCCUGAGGGCAAUCUAUUAAAAUGAAUCAUUCCUUAUGGGUUUUCACUGUGAGCAAUGCACCAUGUUCAGGGCUUACUGUCAAUUGUGAAUGAACAUAAACUAAAUCCAGUUUUGCAAAUGCCUGCUUACCUAGUAGAGAUAUAUCAUAUAUGCAUAGUAAAUCUUCAAUUUAAAAACAUCACAAGUAACUGAUAUACCCAGACUGAUCUACUUGCUCUGCUGGAUGAUUUAAUCAUUAAUUUUAUAAAUCCACUUUAUUUGUUCCCUUAUUGGCAUGGUGAACAGAACUCCUUCUUGAUGAGAUAGUUAUUCCCCUUGUGGUUUUGACUGAAUUAUUUAAAAUUAAGUUGCUCAGUACAAUAGUGUUCCAACAUUGUUUUAUAUUCAAGUCUGCCACUCUUAUUUUGGAUUGUACUAUUCAUGCCUGUAGUUGCAUUCUCAAUUGACGUGGUGACUUUCCCAGUUUAAGAAUAUGAAAAGAUCAUGGUUUGUUAGCAAAAGGUGCUUUGCGGCUUGAAUAUCUCAGGCUCUUGAAUAUCUAAGGUGUCACUCAAUUACAAAUUCAUGCUUCCAGUUACGAGUUUUUAGCUCCUCUGUACUGUACGGACUGCUGAGUAUUAUUUUGAGGGCAUGGGAGGUAAAGGGUUUCUAAAUCAAAGCUGGUUUGUUUUCUUCAUUUUUGGUGACCAUGCUGAUGUGAAUCUUGUGUUAUCAUUGAUGGGAUAUUUUUAUACUUCAUGCAAGAAGGCGCAAAGCUAUUUCUUUAUCAUCAGUUGUAAUAUUAACAUAAAAAAUAUGCCACAGUCUUUCUUUCUGAUUCACAUGAUUUCAUUUGAUCAAGAAAACUCUAUUCUGUCCAGCCCUAUAAUGACCAUGUAAUUACACUCAAUAGAAAAAAGACAACUUCAAAAAUUGCUGGUUACUGUAGUUUCUUCACUAAUCGCUUGGAAAAGUGAUAACACAUGUUUAAGUAUUGUCCUCAUUGCCAAUUAAUAGCGUCAUUAGGUUUUACUGGGAAAAAACUUACGCUAAUUUUGGUUCUUACACUCUGUGAGCUUAGAUAUGACUGCAUUUUUGAAACUGAUCUCUAUUUUUGUACAUCUGAAUUUUCAUUGUUCAAUUUCAGAUGUGCAGGUUUUGAGUUGAAAGGUUCAAAGCAUCUAAAAUGCAAGAGACACUGGGCAGCACCUCUGUAAAUUAACCCCUUA